rnacentral:tRNA from 1 species
GCUUUCGUGGUGUAGAGGUCAGCACGCUGGGUGCGUAUUCCAGAGAGGUCCGUGGUUCGAGUCCCGCCGAAGGCG